rnacentral:lncRNA from 1 species
CAGCCCUGGAGUGGCCGAUGACCGCUGUGACCUUGACACAGGCCAGUGCAGGUGCCGAGCGGGCUUUGAGGGGGCCACAUGUGAUCGCUGUGCCCCUGGCUACUUUCACUUCCCUCUCUGCCAGUUGUGUGGCUGCAGCCCUGCAGGAACCUUGCCCGAGGGCUGCGAUGAGGCCGGCCGCUGCCUAUGCCAGCCUGAGUUUGCCGGACCUCAUUGUGACCGGUGCCGCCCUGGCUACCAUGGUUUCCCCAACUGCCAAGCAUGCACCUGCGACCCUCGGGGAGCCCUGGACCAGCUCUGUGGGGCGGGAGGUUUGUGCCGCUGCCGCCCCGGCUACACAGGCACUGCCUGCCAGGAAUGCAGCCCCGGCUUUCACGGCUUCCCCAGCUGUGUCCGUGAGUGCCUAGGGAGGAAGUGGUGGGGAGGCAGGUGCAGUCUCCACUGCGUGCCCACGGCUAUCCUUGUCCGCAGCCUGCCACUGCUCUGCCGAAGGCUCCCUGCACGCAGCCUGCGACCCCCGGAGUGGGCAGUGCAGCUGCCGGCCCCGCGUGACGGGACUGCGGUGUGACACGUGUGUGCCCGGUGCCUACAACUUCCCCUACUGCGAAGCUGGCUCUUGCCACCCUGCCGGUCUGGCCCCAGUGGAUCCUGCCCUUCCUGAGGCACAGGUUCCCUGUAUGUGCCGGGCUCACGUGGAGGGACCGAGCUGUGACCGCUGCAAACCUGGGUUAUGGGGACUGAGCCCCAGCAACCCCGAGGGCUGUACCCGCUGUAGCUGCGACCUCAGGGGCACACUGGGUGGAGUUGCUGAGUGCCAGCCGGGCACCGGCCAGUGCUUCUGCAAGCCCCACGUGUGCGGCCAGGCCUGCGCGUCCUGCAAGGAUGGCUUCUUUGGACUGGAUCAGGCUGACUAUUUUGGCUGCCGCA